UCCUGAGUUUAUUGUGUAUAAUGUACAUAACUUAAUUCAUCUAGCGGAUGAUGCAAGGAAACAUGGAUCUCUUGAUCUAAUUUCAUGUUUUCCAUUUGAGAACUUCUUGGGUAAAGUAAAAAAGAUGGUACGGAGGCCACAGCAUCCGGUGCAGCAAGUUGUAAAACGUGUACAUGAAAAACAAAAAGUAAAGGCAAAGGCAAAUAGACAGGAGGAUAGUGUACUAAAUCAACAUAAAAAACUCCAUCUCUCUGGGCCAUUGCCUCAGGGAUUUGAAGCAUGCAAGCAGUUCAAACAGUACUAUGGAGAAAAUAUUUUUAUUUCAUGUGAAAUGGGUGAUAAUUGUUUUGAUUUGAAUGGUCAAGUUUGCCUUGUAAGCAAUAUAUUGUACAGUGUGUCUGGGGACACAUAUGUAGUGUGUGAUUGUUUUUCAAAUGUGGACAUUUUUUAUGAUUACCCUAUUGACUCUUCAGCUCUGGGAAUCAAACUUGUACAUGGAUUACGUGGACAACUGCAAGUUUUUCCUGUGACCGAGUGCACAAAAAAAAUGGUCCUUUUACCAUAUAAAGGAGCUUUUGUAGUCUUGCCUCUGCUACAUGACUGCUAAUAUUGUGGAUUAAAUUUGUUUAGUAAAAUGCUGCCCUUUGUGGUUGUGGAAUUUCUGGACUCACGGACUGUGGCUAUUAUACCAAGAAACUGGUUUACCGGGCCAGAGGAAGAGGAGUGUUACUGGCCACCUUCCUCCACUGUCAAUGUUGAUCGAUGUGUUAGAGAGGGAAGAGACCCACAAGAAGAUUGGAUGAAAUUCCAAGUGCGAGUUUUGGGAAAAGCUGCUGACUAUGCAGCUGCCAGAACAAAGCUGCGUAAAGCUGAAGUGACUUCAGAUCUUCAGACGGAUCCAGAACCAGAAAGAGCCAAGCGUAAAAGAAAACUCAGAGUUGUUGACACCGACUCAGACAUUGAAGAUUGUCCAGAAAUGGUCGCUCCACCACCCCCAAGAAGGCUUCUAGUAAAAGGACUGGGGAACCAUCGAGGCACUACACCCGCUACACCACCUCCACCUCAUCUUCUAAAAGAAGCACAAACGCCAGUUCGCAGCACUCCAGCACACACAGGUUCUACUAAUACUCCCUGCAGACCAGUUCAGCCCAGUGGAAUGGCAGUGAGGGAUGGAAUGUUUGUUCGUGUACUGACAAUACUGGAAGAAAUUAAAGAGUGUCAAAAGGUACAGGGUAGCAUGAUAAGGUGUCUUAUGCAGCAGAGAGAACAAAACUGUGUGGUUCCUAUCUUGCCUGAGGGAGUCUCCUUUCCAUUGAAGAGCUUUACCGAAUUGGAUGAUCUGGAGUUGAAGCUCUGUGAGUCUGACUUCCAGAAAAAUUUGGUCUCAGUCCUUGGGGACAUUGGAGGGAGGAGCCUUGAUGAAUGUGUCCGUAGAACUAUGGCGUUUUUGAUGACAAAUGACCUUGCCCGUCAAUUGAACCUCACAGGGCGACAUGGAAAACGUUCGUUCAGGAGUCUACGUCUCUUUGAUACUUUGCAUGGUAGCCUGAAACAGAACACUUUCUUGAAAACUGUAAGUAAGAAAGAGGUGGAGACAGCCCUUGGUAAAUGGUUCACAAAUGCUAGGGACAGAGAUGGCAACCGUGCCUUGAGAGCCCAGCGAAACCUUGUGCAGAGAGCCGCACAGUCAGAGGUGCUUGAAGCUGAGGAGUCUGUACAGACACAGGACUGACAACUUUUAUAUGAGGAAGCAUAAACGCCAGUUCGCAGCACUCCAGCACACACAGGUUCUACUAAUACUCCCUGCAGACCAGUUCAGCCCAGUGGAAUGGCAGUGAGGGAUGGAAUGUUUGUUCGUGUACUGACAAUACUGGAAGAAAUUAAAGAGUGUCAAAAGGUUUGAAGCUGAGGAGUCUGUACAGGCACAGGACUGACAAAUUUUUUAUCUUAAAACAUUGUUCAAUAAAAAACUUUAAUUUACACAUUCUGAAUUGAAGUCAUUUUUUCCCUGCAAUUCAAAUAUUUAGUAGUUCCUUAGACAUUAAAAUAUUAAAGCAACACAAAAUCUGUUGAUUUGAUGCUUUCUUGGUUUGAGAAGGUACUGGUUUACAAAACAGUUACAAAUUUGAAGUAAUUUGAAAGUUAAUUUUGGAGAAAAGCACAUUAACUUGAUCCACAGGAAUCAGGUUUACUUAAUAAAUGGGGCCCACUGUGGUCCCACAAUCCAUAUACGGGGUCAUUGGGGUCCAGUGAAAUCACCCAUAAGGGCCCCAUAAGGGUGACGUAUGGGACCCACUUUGGGCCCAUUAAUAUUAUAUAAUGUGGGACCCAAGUGGGCCCAUAAACUGAACUCCUACAUGGGCCCAACUUGGAGCCCACUGUGUACCCAUCAUUAACCCACAUGGGCUAACACACAUGGGGCCCAUGUGGAGCCGAUGGACAAAUUUAUCUGGGCCCCAUUUGGGUGGCCCAUGCGGGGCC